CCAGCUUCUGCUCGUCGUGGGAAGCAGAAGGGAGUCGCCCGGCAAGGCCAAGGCUCAGAGGUCUUCCUCUGUCACUUCCACCACACGCAGUGCUGGGAAAGCAGCCACCGACGUGAGGAGACCAAGGCUGCCUGGGAGGAAGGACCAGCAGAACCGCGUGGCUGCGGGGACAAGGGCAGAUUUGGGGGACAGCCAUGGCACCACAGCCCCUCCGUGGAGUGGCCGGGAGAGCAGGGCCUCUGGACAGGGCUGGGC
rnacentral:lncRNA from 1 species